UAGGACUACCGGGGUUUCUAAUCCUGUUCGAUACCCGCGCUUUCGUGCCUCAGCGUCAGUGACCGGCCGGUACGCUGCCUUCGCAAUCGGGGUUCUGCGUGAUAUCUAUGCAUUUCACCGCUACACCACGCAUUCCGCGUACUUCUCCGGUACUCAAGGCCCCCGGUUCCGACGGCUCGGCGGGGUUGAGCCCCGCAAUUUUACCGCCGGCCUGAAGGCCCGCCUACGCACCCUUUAAACCCAAUAAAUCCGGAUAACGCUCGCAUCCUCCGUAUUACCGCGGCUGCUGGCACC
rnacentral:misc_RNA from 1 species